UUUUUUCUUUUCCCUAUUUUCCUCCCCCGGUUUCUCUCUUCUCUCUCCUCGCCCCCGAUACUUCCUCUCUUUCUGGGCUUCCUUCCUCCGCCUGCAGCGCCGCCGUCCGUAGACGCCAAGCCGCCCCUGAGCCACCACAGCUUCGCCUUGACCUCUCCUAGCUGCUGGACGUGAUCUUUUCCACCGGGACGGCCUCAAAUCCGGCAGAUCGGAGCUGCAAGCUUUGAACCACAAAAGGGUCAACGCCGGUUUUCUCCUAGUUCCGGCAACCAAAACUUCCGAUCCUUGGCUUCCUGAACUCGCCUCAACCUCCUUAGCAAGCACCAAGAAGGACUGGACCUGGUUUGAAGGUUUUCACGUUCGUCGUCGGAGCCGACCGGUUUUCGAUCGAAAACCAACCUUUCGAUCGAGAUAUCUCGAGUUACAGACCACCUAUUCCUGUAAUUCUUGAGCUAGUGAACUCCGAUUGAAGUUCUGAACAACUUCCAUGAAGGGAUCAAAGCGAGUUGUUGAAUUUUUACGUCGGAAUUCAAGCUCGCCGGAUUCUGGAAUUUUUCCGGCCACCGAAGCUUUCGAUCAAGAUAUCUCGAGUUGUAGAGCUUCGUUUUGAGUGAUUCUUGAACCAGUGAGUUCACCUUGAUGUUAUUAACAACUCUCCAGAAGGAAUAGAGGCCUGAAAGUGAAGGUUUUACGUCGAAAUCAAGCUCGCCAGUUCUGCAAAUUAUCGCCGGAUUCUGGAAAUUUUCCGGCCAACCCGACUGUUCGAGGGGGAUAAUUCAUAUUUUGAAGAGCUGUAUCAUGGAAGAGGGAGGAAUCAGGCAUUGCAGAAGAAGUCGCACAAGCAGGAGGUAUUUUGACUGAUCCAAUUGAAAGCAACAGCUCAUCACCACCUCCAGAAGCAGAAGCUCCUACCAUCACUUCUACCCCUGACCCACAACUCCCUGGUACUGAAGAUCACCCAUUUGAGAUGUUGCAUAUGCACAUCAACAUCUUUAAUUUGUUCCUUCAACUUCUCAUUUACCUUCUAAACGGGAAAGAAGAUGAGAUUGAAUGUAUUUUCCAUUAAUCUUUCCAGAACCAACUGGAAU
rnacentral:lncRNA from 1 species